UAGCCCCUUCCCCGAACCGAACCCUGGGAAAACCGGGGGGUGUUGCCAGCUCGCCUGCCCUGGCCACCUGGGGGGGGUCCUGAAUCCCCUGCUCCUGGAGUCCUGUGAUGAGGGAAGGCUCUCAGCUUUCAUUGCAAAGGGGGUCUGGCCCUGGGGGUGGCUGAGACAAGCUGGGGAAGGUGACCCUCGAAAGGUGCCCCUUCUGCUUCUGACAGUCUUUGCAAUAAGGAACAAAAAAGCAGCAUCGACUAGUCUCCACAGCACCAUUUAUAAGCUGUGGGAGCUCUUAUUCCAGUUCUCUGAUCCAUCAGCGAGACCUUCAGCAAAAUCAGGGAAGACUUGAUAAUUCUAUCUCUAGUUAUGAAAACCACAUUGACAGAACAUUUUCUUGCUUAUGCAUGCAAAGGGAAAGAAGAGGGGAUAAGAGCUGUGUCUUAUCACCUAAAACGACCCAGACACUGGAAACUUCACAUGACAAGUCAUCACUUAUACUGACAGAGAAAAAUGUUUUAUUUUUAGUUCUAUUGUGGGGUGGUGGUGAUUGUGGGCUUUUGUUUUGUUUUAUUUUCUUCCCCAACAUGAUUUUGAAGUGUUUCAAUAUGAAUUGUAAAGUAUAUAGAAAAACCUUUUUGAGACUGCUCUGCCAUCGUCUAUCUUCAGCAUUCCAUACUCUUUUUUAUUUAUUCUAUAGCAAUGUUUCCUAAAGGCUGGGCUAUACACAAACUUCCACUGAAAUAGCUACAUCAGUUGUAACUGAGACUUCUUGUUAUUUUGGUGCCAUCUUGUGAGCUGACAUUCUUAUUUUGGUAUCAGAGUGCCUGUAUUGAUUUAGCUUAUAUUGGUGUUUUACUGACUUCAGCUAAAUUGUAGUAGGACACUUUAAUUCUGAAAUACACAGACUUCCACCAAAACAACAAAUGUGUCAAUUACAAUGAUUGAGGCUAUGUCUACGCUACCGUUUAUGUUGGUAUAACUUAUAUCACAAGGGCAGGUGGGUAGUUAAGCCGACGGGAGAGCUCUACACUAGAGAGCUUACGAUACAGCUGUGCCACUGCAACGUGUGUGGUGAAGAUGUUCUAUGCCGAUGGGUGAGAGUGCUCCUGUUGGCGUAAAAAAACCACCUCUGUGAGAGGCGGUAACUAUGUCCACAAGAGAAACUCUCCCGCCAACGUAGCGCUGUUCACACUGGUGCUUAGAUUGGUGUAACAUAUGUCGCUCAAGGGGGUUGGUUUAUUUACAGCCCUGAGAGACAUAAGUUAUGUCAAUAUAGGCUGUAGUGUAGACAUAGCCUGAGUUAUUUUGGUGCAGGUUUACAUGAGAAUGAGGCUUAAAAUUUCUCUAGCCGUAUUAGAAUCUUUGGCCUACCUGCACCAUAAAAUACCUUCUAGAUUGAUUUUGUUUUCUUUUACUUGUUUUAUAGAAUGGAAUUUUCCUUCCAGGGACAGACUUUUCAUUUUGUUUUUAAAUUUGUGAAUAAAUUGGUGAGAGACUAAUACCACCAGCAUGAGCCAGGCAUGGCCAAGGAAGGUGCUAUGCAUAUCUUCACACAGAGACAAUGAAGGAUGCAUUUCCUUAUGUAGUGAGAAAGGGCAGAGAAGGCAAAGACUCUCAACAAUCUAGUAUAUAACUAUGCUGUAGCAAGUGAACAUCCAGUCAUCAGGAAAAAAUCUAGUAACCAACAGUGGCCAUUAAAGAUUGCUAAAUCCUGGGUAGACUUGUUUGGGAAUGAUGAGAAGGAGUGUGCUGCUGUAGAUGGGGCAGCAUCCAGAGCAGGAGCUAGUGGUGCCCAGCCCCUGUGCAGCAAGCUUUGCCAAGCCCUUCACAAUCUGAAAUGAAGUAAUCGAUGUCAUCAUUUCUAGGUAGCUCCUCAGAGCUUAGAAAUCCAGAGAAGCUAGAGUGCUGGUAGUGAAGUUCCAUGGCUAAGCUAUUUUGGCUGUAGCAUAAAGAUAUUAUUAAGCUCUUAGACCAGGAGAAUGCAGGAGUCCACCACAACAUCCUCAGAAUGUCCGACAGCAGAUUAUUUUCAGAGGACAGCUAGGUAAAUUAAUGUUCCUUUAUGAAAUGUGCUCAGAACAUAGUCCAUGGAUUAGAAAUAAUACAUCCACCUCCUCACCACAAUCACCUGCCUCAGGCCAAACUCAGGAAAAGAUAUGGCCGUUUCAGUUUUGCCUAAAAGUCAACACAUUUGGAUUUUGUUAGACCAGAAAAGCAACUUCCAGGAUGAGGCCCCAUCGUGGACCCCGUCCCUUUCCAGCCACUUAGACAUUCAAGUCUAGGGACUGCAUCCAAGAGCCCUACAGCUGACCUUGACUGUAAUGCCAGGAGGAGAGAGAGUUUCUCAGAUAACCAGCAGGCAAGCCACAUACCAAACAAAGACGUGGAUUUCUGUUGUUAGCAAAUACCUGCUGCUCGGAGAAGCAAUCAUUCUUGUUAACUUUUCUGUAUUAAGUUGUAUUGUUUUUCCAAAGAAUCAUACCAGUGUGCAGCAAAUUUGGGUUUUUCCUGACUCCUAUGUUUCCACAGACCACCCUCUAUUUGUGCUUUUUGGAGACACUUGCCUUGGAGCAUUUUACUGCUGUAAGUUGUAUGACAUGAUACCAAGUAGAAAGUUUGGGGUUGUGCUCAGAGGUCAGAGGUAGGUUUUAUAGUAUGGUCCUAUAGUUUUUAAUGUACCAGUCACGGGAGCAUGUGCCCCAAAUUCCUGGCCUACAAUAGCCAUUCUAUUCUAAUUCUGAACUUUUUCUGAACAGACACAGCCAGCUGUGCCUAACAUUAUGGUCAUUUUCUCUGACAUGCACUAAUGGGGAGUAGGAUAAGACUAUCAAACAUAUUUUCAGAGGUGAAAGGCCAGUAUAAUCACACCACAUCCCCCUUUGCAUGUAUUUGAUCUCAUUCUGGUUCCUGGUACUACAAAGUUUCCUUGAGCCUUUCUGGUCAUUUUGAAUAUUUUCAAUUGCGUAGUUUCAAAAAUGCAUCAGUGACUUAGGAACCUAAGUUCUAUUGACUUUCAAUGCUUUGACCUUUUAUAGUUAGUUUUUUCUCAUCCAUUCUUGAUCAUUCUCUCUGUAAACAAAUGUUCUUUUUCAGAAAGGAUUUUAAAAAAAUAUUUAUUACAACUGCACAUAUUCUGUAGGUUAUGGCCUUCCUUUCGCUUUCCUAAUGAAACUUACCGAUGAAUAAAUCACUACGGGCUGGAUUCUGACUCCUUUUUGUAUAUUGACUACCACUUAGUCCAUGAGCGGUCCCAUUGAUUUCAGUGGAGUAAGGUACUAUUCAACAAGAGUGAGGAUAUUAGAAUCUGACCCUGAGCCAUGGGCAUAUUCUGCGAGUUCUCAUUUACCUCUUUUGUUUCUGAUAAAAGCCCCUGGUUAACAAAAUAAUGUCUAAUCUGUUGCAAGACCUGUUUGGAUGAUUACUGCAUCCUAGUUAAUAUAUCAUGAUAUUUGUGACCUUUGAGUUGUUUUGUCAGAUGCUUUUUCCAGCACUAAUAAAUAGCUA